GUGAUUGUCCUAAAGGUUAGUUUUUUUAAAUCGUAGAAUAUAAAAUUGUAGUGUUUAAUUGUUAAUUUGGAUGCAUUUUUGGGUUCUGAGAUUUUGAGUGAUAUAAUUUGGUGUUGCAGUUGUAGUUGUAAUUGCACCUUCAUGUUGUGUUUAUUAGUUUAGGUUUUUCGUGUAUAGGGAAUAAAAAUAGAGUUAGGGAUACUGCUGUCAUGGAUUUGUUUAGAAAUGUAGUUACUUAUAUGUUUCUGGCUAAUCAUCACAUACAAGAAUAGUUACACUUUGACCCAGGAUUUUCUGAAAGCCUAUACACCAAACUGAACCCUCACCCUGCAACACCAUUGGUACCUCUGUUGCUUGAUGAUCCAAAAACUGCAGGUUUGCUUUGCUGAUGAGGCUUUUGCAAUUGACAAGACUGCUAAAUUCUGCAUUGUCAUAUAUUUGUCCCCC
rnacentral:lncRNA from 1 species